rnacentral:lncRNA from 1 species
CGGGCGUCCUGGUCGUAGGCCUUCAGGGUCUCGCUGGAGCUGUAGGAUUUCUGCGGGGCUUUGCCCUCCUCGCUGUCCGCGGACGAGCUGGUGUAGCGGCGCUCGGCGUCGCGGCGCCGGGUCAGCGAGCGGACCAGGGAUGUGCCAGUUUCUUGCUGUUGCUAAAGCCCAGGCGUCUCACCAUCAGGGCUGGCUCUCAGACCCUGCUGCACCUCCGUCUCUUCAUUAAAGUCUGCUCCUCUAAGCCAUCUAGAGUGAACUGUUUCCUGUUAGGAUCCUGACCAAUGAUACAGCUUCACCCCUUACUUUCUGUUGGCUUUCAGCAAUCAUCAUCAUCAUUGAACUAAUAAUAACACCAGCCACCACUUACUCAGGGUUUGCCAUAGGCCAGGCACCGGUCAAGUGCUUGAGAUGAUUUCAUUUAGUUCUCACCAUUUCUACCUCUGUGAAUUGGUCCCAUUUUACUGAUGAAGAGCCUGUGGCUUAGAGAAGUAAAAUAACUGGCUUGCAAUCACACAGGAAGAGACUCAAGAGCUGGAUGUGUCCAACUGCAAACCUUCUUUCCAGAACCCUCUAUCCUGACAGUGAUAGAAUGAGCUCCAGGCUAGGAGUAAGGCCUGUCCUGGCCACCUCCUAGCUGUGUGGCCCUGGGCACAGGACAUUUA